AGCCCGAGUCCAAACAAACAGAUUCGAACAUUUGUUGUCUGCUUUGUGUCUUUUGCGACUGCGAGUCAAUCACGGUUUCAUUCCAAUAAAUUGAAUUAACAAGAGUGGUAAUCAAUAGUAGUUUUGACGAAAUGCAAGAAAAUCAGCUUUCAGACGAAGAAUAUGUGAUUUAUCGAACCAAAAGUAGUCAAAAACUGGAUGCUGCCACAGCUAAAGCUUGGAUGAUUACCGCAAAAACAUUAUUCCCGCGAAAUUUUGCUGUUCAGCUAGAAGCGUAUACCACUCAAAAAUCUGCAAACAAUCCUAAAGAAGCAGCAAGAUACUUUUCUAGUUUAUUCUUUGAUUUUCCAAAUGAAGUGGAAUUAUGGGAGGAAGUGCAGGAAAUUACAUCAGCUCUUCAGAAAGUUGAUGCUAAUGAAUCCUCACGUUUUUAUAGAGAUUUAUUUUCUCACAUGCUUACAGAAGUACAACAUCAGCUAUUGCUUUCUAUGGCAGAGAGGGCAGAAGAUACAAUAGAACAUUGCAGAUUAAUGUUGGUUUUAUUGGCUAGGCUUCCACAGUUUGUUGACACACAUGGUAAAAAAUUAGUGGAUACUUUGCUGACAACAGAAAAGCACAGUCACUAUCAAACUCCAGUUAAUUGCUUCAGGAAAUUGCUAGUCGUAGAUUUACUCCCAACACUGCUUGGUUCCAGAACAAUUGAUGUCCCUCAGAAACAACUAUAUAGACUCAUUUUGAAAUCAAUUGAAUUCUAUGUAAAUUGGUUUGCUAGUGGAUCUCCAUUAAUUCAGGGUGUGGAAGGAUCUGAGCUAAAAACAGAAGAGGCAUGGACCAAUCUAUUUAAAAUAAUGUUUGCCAUGGGGCGCAAACUCGGAUGGGAACUUAGUUCGAUGUUUAGUAUCGAGAAUCGGGAAUUAAUGUGUCAAAAUCUAUGGGCGUUUUUUCGCUCAACUCCUCUUGGUGAUGAAGACAGUCCAAACUUCCGGCAGUUAUUAUAUUGUACUACAGUUCUUCUAGUGGAAUCUUUAUAUGAAUACAUGAGGAAAAUAGAUCCUGCGUGUUUUCAAAUUCCAAAUCAAGGAAACAAAAUGGAAACUACUCAACUAUUACUUGUUCGUGCAUUUCUUCCAAGCGUCGAUAGUGGUCUUGAAUCUGCUUUGAAACGUCGCAAGGAAGAAAAUUCUGCAUCGCAUUCCACGUUGAAUGUGACUGUAACAAAAAGCUGCCCAACACCGACAGCAACCACUUUGUUAUCGAGUUUUUUAACUGCUGUCAGUUGCUGGGAACUGCUUCAACAAACGGAAGAACUUCGGAAUGAGUUUUCAAAAAUUUGCCUGCAUCUUCGAACAGAGUCAUGGCUUUGGUUGCCAAAUUUCAUUGCCGAUGUUUAUUUGCAUCAAGGGCUUUACGCAGAAGCGUUAACCAAGUUGCAGUCUGUGGGUUCAACCGUUCUUAAUCCCCAAUCGUUUCUUUUAAAAUCUUCAGGGAUUUUUUUCGGCUUGGGAAACCAUAUAGCAGCCACAGAACAAAUAUUGCACGCUGUUGCUAACUUGCCAUUAGAAGGUGGCAGUGAUUUACCAACAUCGUUUACGAUUCCAUGCUUUUCCAGUCCCAUUGGAAAGCCUCCCUUACAUUUUAUGGCCUUAAACCGGACAGAAAUCGUUCAAUAUUCCGUAAGUGUUUUGCUGGCUUGCCUCCAGGAUCGUGCUUUUAAGAAUGGAAAUUCCGAUUUGGCUGUAGGACAUCUAAUUGUUCUACUUCAAUAUGACUGGCCAAACAAUUCAAAUCUUCUAGAAGAAAGUUUAGAAAAAAUUCGACGUCAGGGUCAAUUUACAUAUCAACUGUUUUCUUCCUAUGUUAUCCAAGUUGAUAUUCUGGAAGAAAUAGCUUAUCUAGUUACGGAUCAAGGAGGAGCCAUUAACGUUGAUAUCUUUCCUCCUUCUGCUGCACAGUUAGCUACGCAAAGGAGAAUGACUACUCGAAGAGGUGACUUGGGCGCACGAGAGGACUUUCGUUCAGCUAUGAAACGCCAGAUGGGACGAAGUCCAGAAAAUAUUCAAAACCUUAUGAUACGAUUCAUGAUCCGCGAAAGAGAAAACAUACUACAGGCAAUGAAAGUUUGAAUUUAUCAGGAAAAAAAACGGAAUUUCAGGAAGUCUUCAAUACAUUCAGCAAUGCGAGUCAAUUCCCAAAAUACUUUCAAUUAUUACAUCUUUUGCUGACAAAG